GAUGAACGCUAGCGGCAGGCCUAACACAUGCAAGUCGAGGGAUAAGCCUUCGGGCUAAGUCCGGCGCACGGGUGCGUAACGCGUAUACAAUCUGCCUUUUAUCCGGCGGAUAGCCCGAAGAAAUUUGGAUUAAUACCCUAUGGUAUAAGAGCACGGCAUCGUGCCCUUAUUAAAGCUACGGCGGUAAAAGAUGAGUAUGCGUUCUAUUUGCUUGUUGGAGAGGUAACGGCUCCCCAAGGCGACGAUAGAUAGGGGUUCUGAGAGGGAUGUCCCCCACACUGGUACUGAGAUACAGACCAGACUCCUACGGGAGGCAGCAGUGAGGAAUAUUAGACACUGGUCGGAAGACUGAUCCAGCCAUGCCGCGUGCAGGAUGACGGCCUUAGGGGUUGUAAACUGCUUUUGAAAGAGAAGAAUAAGGAGUACGUGUACUUUGAUGACGGUACCUUACGAAUAAGCAUCGGCUAACUCCGUG
rnacentral:rRNA from 1 species